UAGGGAAUCUUCGGCAAUGGACGAAAGUCUGACCGAGCAACGCCGCGUGAGUGAAGAAGGUUUUCGGUUCGUAAAACUCUGUUGUUAGAGAAGAACAAGGACGUUAGUAACUGAACGUCCCCUGCCGGUAUCUAACCAGAAAGCCACGGCUAACUCCGUGCAAGCAGUCGCGGUAAUACGUAGGUGGCAAGCGUUGUCCGGAUUUAUUGGGCGUAAAGCGAGCGCAGGCGGUUUCUUAAGUCUGAAGUGAAAGCCCCCGGCUCAACCGGGGAGGGUCAUUGGAAACUGGGAGACAUGAGUGCAGAAGAGGAGAGUGGAAUUCCAUGUGUAGCGGUGAAAUGCGUAGAUAUAUGGAGGAACACCAGUGGCGAAGGCGGCUCUCUGGUCAGUAACUGACGCUAAGGCUCGAAAGCGUGGGGAGCAAACAGG
rnacentral:rRNA from 1 species